GAAAGUUCUUCGGAAAUUAGCUCAGGCAAGUUAGCGCCAACUGACGAAGAAGCAUGAAGAUCAAAAGGCCAUUGCGAAAAGUCACAGAGAAGCUCGUCUACGCGAGAAAAUGCUUUUUCACGAUCUUCAUAGUUUAAAUUGUCAAGAGCGUUUUCAAGAACAUUAGCAGCGUAUGAGGAACAAGCAAGGGCAACAGUGCGAAGGCAACGAAAAGACAAAUAUUCUGGGAAAGAAGGUGAAUUAUCAAUUUCAAUUACUCGUGAAGUAAGAACAGAGACCACUCUUUUUUUAAUGGAAUCUUUAAUGGAGGUAUCGGCAAUGGGAUGAGUUGGCAUGUCGAAAAGUAAGAAAUUCUUCUUCUCAUUUCUUAAAAUCCCUUUGUCAACAAGGCCCUUUGCCAACCGUUCGCGUACUUGUCUUAAUUGAUAUCCAAUCUUCAUCACAUUCCACGUUUCACCACUCAUCAAAUCAAUCCAAGAGGUUACAGACAUGAGUUCGCUAGUAUGUAUCAUUUUAAUAGCUUCGUCUAAAAGAACCUCACCUGUAAGUUUUUCAUCAACCAACUCCACUACACGAUCCGCUAACGGAAAGCGUUUACGAUUAACGUCUUUUUGCAUACGCAACUUUCCACGAAAUGCGAGCUCCAUUAGAAUACAUCCCCGAAGAGAAUAAGAAAUGCUGUCAUUCCAAA